CCUACGUGAGGCAGCAGUGAGGAAUAUUGGUCAAUGGGCGCGAGCCUGAACCAGCCAAGUAGCGUGAAGGAUGACUGCCCUACGGGUUGUAAACUUCUUUUAUAAAGGAAUAAAGUGAGGCACGUGUGCCUUUUUGUAUGUACUUUAUGAAUAAGGAUCGGCUAACUCCGUGCCAGCAGCCGCGGUAAUACGGAGGAUCCGAGCGUUAUCCGGAUUUAUUGGGUUUAAAGGGAGCGUAAAUGGGUUGUUAAGUCAGUUGUGAAAGUUUGCGGCUCAACCGUAAAAUUGCAAUUGAUACUGGCAGUCUUGAGUACAGUUGAGGUAGGCGGAAUUCGUGGUGUAGCGGUGAAAUGCUUAGAUAUCACGAAGAACUCCGAUUGCGAAGGCAGCUUACUAAACUGCCACUGACAUUGAUGCUCGAAAGUGUGGGUAUCAAACAGGAUUAGAUACCCCAGUAGUC
rnacentral:rRNA from 1 species